GGCUCAGAUUGAACGCUGGCGGCAGGCCUAACACAUGCAAGUCGANCGGUAGAGAGGUGCUUGCAUCUCUUGAGAGCGGCGGACGGGUGAGUAAUGCCUAGGAAUCUGCCUGGUGGUGGGGGAUAACGUUCGGAACGGACGCUAAUACCGCAUACGUCCUACGGGAGAAAGCGGGGGAUCUUCGGACCUCGCGCCAUUAGAUGAGCCUAGGUCGGAUUAGCUAGUUGGUGAGGUAAUGGCUCACCAAGGCGACGAUCCGUAACUGGUCUGAGAGGAUGAUCAGUCACACUGGAACUGAGACACGGUCCAGACUCCUACGGGAGGCAGCAGUGGGGAAUAUUGGACAAUGGGCGAAAGCCUGAUCCAGCCAUGCCGCGUGUGUGAAGAAGGUCUUCGGAUUGUAAAGCACUUUAAGUUGGGAGGAAGGGUAGUAACCUAAUACGUUGCUACUUUGACGUUACCGACAGAAUAAGCACCGGCUAACUUCGUG
rnacentral:rRNA from 1 species